UUCCACUGAAGUGCGUGAAUUUCAUACCAAGCCCAUACUUCGCAUUCCACCUUUACUGUCAAACCGGGAGAAAUAUUACUGAAAACAAUAGAGCACCAAGAUAAAUAUACCUUUAAAGAAAUAAACCUCGUCCAGUUCUAUCGGUAGAGGUGUUUCUCAAUAAAGAGAGUUGCCAGAGAGAAACGACAGAAGUGUUUGGAGAGAUCGUUCACCCCUUUUUCUACGUUAUCAGGACAGCGUGAAGACCUCCCUCCUGGACAGGAUCCUCCACUCGCUUGUUUCCCGCC